rnacentral:rRNA from 1 species
UACGUAGGGGGCAAGCGUUAUCCGGAUUUACUGGGCGUAAAGGGAGCGUAGGCGGCAGUGCAAGUCAGAAGUGAAAGCCCGCGGCUUAACCGCGGGACUGCUUUUGAAACUGCGCAGCUGGAUUGCAGGAGAGGUAAGUGGAAUUCCUAGUGUAGCGGUGAAAUGCGUAGAUAUUAGGAGGAACACCGGUGGCGAAGGCGGCUUACUGGACUGUAAAUGACGCUGAGGCUCGAAAGCGUGGGGAG